rnacentral:tRNA from 1 species
GGCGCUGUACGCUUAACGGUAAAGUCGGUGUCAACCCCACAACAGGGGAGCACGUAUGCAGGUUCGAUUCCUGUCAGCGCCU